AUACUUAUCUGGCAGAGGAGAUACCAUCAUCAGGAAGGUGGUAUUCUCUUAGUAAGGUUCAUCCCUUGCACCCCAGAAGUACCGACCUCUGCAAUGUUCCCAAAUGUAGGAAACUUGACUGCAUUAGUUGUGGUAGUGAGGGACUGUGUUUAAACUUUCACCUG